rnacentral:lncRNA from 1 species
UGGCUGUUUGAGCCCUUUCAAGUAUUUCCAGCGGAAGGCCCCAUUGGUAAGCUGGUUACCUGUGGUCUUUGGAAAUGGUUAUCAUGACUGGGACUUUUGGAAAAGAUCCAGAGAGGACACUAUCUAUUUAAUUAGCCAAAUGAGGGCCAGAACGAAAACCAAUUUGGCCUUCCUUUGUCACCAAAGAUCAUUCAAAUUUCAAAUGAAUUUACUGUGUUCAUGCUCAAGAUGGGCAUAUCCCAUAAAUAUGAACUUUCUAUUGAAAAAUUCCUGUGGUAAGGGUUUCUGUUCCAUAUUUUGUAUAUGGGAGAGUGCCAAUAAGGGGGUGCGGUAAUGCUGGGGACAAUUAAACUAGGAAUAUUUCAGGGAAUUUGUCUGACUGUACUGACAUUGGUUUGCCCAAAUAUG